rnacentral:snRNA from 1 species
AUGCCUAAUCAUAGCAUUUCUCAUAACAAAUCACAGAAGAUUAGCAUGGCCCAUGUGCAAGGAUAACAUGCAAAUUCAUGAAGCAUUCCAUAUUUUA